rnacentral:rRNA from 1 species
UACGUAGGGGGCUAGCGCUGUCCGGAUUUAUUGGGCGUAAAGAGCGUGUAGGCGGCCAGGUAGGUCUGCUGUGAAAACUCGAGGCUCAACCUCGAGACGUCGGCGGAAACCAUCUGGCUAGAGUCCGGAAGAGGAGAGUGGAAUUCCUGGUGUAGCGGUGAAAUGCGCAGAUAUCAGGAAGAACACCCGUGGCGAAAGCGGCUCUCUGGAACGGUACUGACGCUGAGACGCGAAAGCGUGGGGAGCGAACAGG